rnacentral:lncRNA from 1 species
GCAACGACACAGAUAACUACGGUGGACGGCUGCCUCCUUUCCCGAGUGCGCCUAGCAAGGCCGCCACCAGUGGCGCGUCCGUCAGCGCGCACUACGCUACAAUUAGUUU